rnacentral:rRNA from 1 species
UACGUAGGGUGCAAGCGUUGUCCGGAAUUAUUGGGCGUAAAGAGCUCGUAGGCGGUCUGUCGCGUCGGCUGUGAAACCCCGGGGCUCAACCCCGGGCCUGCAGUCGAUACGGGCAGACUAGAGUGCGGUAGGGGAGACUGGAAUUCCUGGUGUAGCGGUGAAAUGCGCAGAUAUCAGGAGGAACACCGGUGGCGAAGGCGGGUCUCUGGGCCGUAACUGACGCUGAGGAGCGAAAGCGUGGGGAGCGAACAGG